rnacentral:misc_RNA from 1 species
AAGUCGUAACAAGGUUUCCGUAGGUGAACCUGCGGAAGGAUCAUUAUUGAAUUCAACUCGCGAAGUUGUUGCUGGCUCCUCUGGGGCAUGUGCACACUUCGCAAGUCAUUUCAACCACCUGUGAACCUUUUGUAGUCUUGGGAGACGCUAUUAUCAAAGGAAACUUUGGAUUUGAAUGCUGCGGGCUUGCAAAAGUCGGCUUCGUUCUACAGCAGAACCCGGGUCUAUGCUUUAUAUACCCCAAUUGUAUGUCAAUGAAUGUGAUGCAAGGGCUUUCCAGCCUUUAAAUCAAAUACAACUUUCAGCAACGGAUCUCUUGGCUCUC